UCCCUGGUGGUCUAGUGGAUAGGAUUCACUGCUUUCACCACUGUGGCCCAGGUUCAAUCCCUGGUCGGGGAA